AGCACUGUGUGUGUAUUUUUGUUUAGUUUGGAAGAAAGCCUUAAAGACAGGUGCAAACAGUACAUCUUCUUUUGCAACCUAGAACUCACUGUUGAAUAUGAGACUUUGGUAUAUGUAAGUAGGAAUAUG